AAACCAACCGGGAUUGCCCUAGUAACGGCGAGUGAAGCGGCAAAAGCUCAAAUUUGAAAUCUGCCUUUGGCCGAGUUGUAAUUUGAAGAUGGCAUUUAGGAAUUGUCCCUGCUCAAGUUCCUUGGAACAGGACAUCAUGGAGGGUGAGAAUCCCGUGAUGCGGGGGUUGCAAUUCUGUGUUAUUUGCUUUCGAAGAGUCGAGUUGUUUGGGAAUGCAGCUCUAAGUGGGUGGUAAAUUCCAUCUAAAGCUAAAUAUUGGCGAGAGACCGAUAGCGAACAAGUACUGUGAAGGAAAGAUGAAAAGAACUUUGAAAAGAGAGUGAAAAAGUACGUGAAAUUGUUGAAAUGGAAGGGCUUGAAUCUAGACAUGGUGUUUAUGUUCCACUUUUCAUUUGAGAGGUGUACUCAUGCUCACCGGGCCAGCAUCAGUUUAGAGGGUAGGAUAAAGACUUGGGAAUGUGGCAGUUCGCUGUGUUAUAGCCCUUGUUCAUACUACCACUUUGGACUGAGGACCGCUUAUAGGAUGCUGGCGUAAUGGAUUCAAGCCAC
rnacentral:rRNA from 1 species